GAUGUUACAGAUCAACAGUCAUAGGAGCGGGUCUUUUAUACCUUCUUCCGUUUUGCUCAAGUGUUUGGAUUUGUGGAAGAAAUUCAAGUCCAUUCCUCGCCCCCACCUUGGAAUGUGGUUUUCAGGUAUCAAGCUUUUAGAUCUUGUUCGAGUGGAGAAGCUAUGGCAAAAGUAUAAGAUCGAUGAUGGUCUUAUUGUUGAAGAGGUUUCAAAAGGAUCACACGCUGAGGAAGUUGGAAUCCGAAGAGGUGGUAUUAUUGAAUGUUUGAAUGGAGAGCGGAUUUCCAAUACAGUUCAGGCAGGUCUACUUACAGAA